rnacentral:tRNA from 1 species
GGGGUUGUGGCUCAGUGGCAGAGUGCUUGCCUCACACGUAUGAGGCACUGGGUUCAAUCCUCAGCACCA